CAAAGUGUCGGCGCUAACGUUAUUUUUGCAAUCAUUAAGUUGUCGGCUUUACUUAAAAAUAUACCAAAAAUUAACUUGAACUCGUCCAGGCAGUUUUAUCUAUGUGAACCUUCGUUUAAAAAUUACUGACUGUACAUACGUCUCACCAGUAAUUAGCAACUGAGGCUGUUUCCAUGGUGAUGAAACGACGUAAAUCAACUGUUUACCAGCUAGCUGCUAAUGUUAGCUUCUGUGAGUUUUAACCCAGUUAUAACGGUAGUUUGGUCAAUAAUAUGAGCAGAUAUGUCUUCGGUAUUUCAGUCCUUCUUGCCCCAACAUUUGGGGCUUUUAAACAGUGGCGCUCGCGUUUUACAAGCUGUAUCUCCGUCGAGCCAUUCAAAGCCAACUCAAGCAGCAGCAGGAAUAACUGAGACCCAUGACGCCUGUCUUCAGCAGAAAUUCAACAGCCUGACUCUGGAUGAAUUGAGUGCAGAGCUUGAUAGUCGCACCAAAGAAACCCAGAGGCUCCAGGAAGAGGUGGAACAUGCAACCAAGCUUGCUUUGCAGAAGUUUGGCCGCACGUAUAGUAUCCACAGCUCACCAGGACAAAGCUGCAACAACCACAGCUUUAAUUUCUAUGGCUCCCCUGAGGACUCCUCUGUUCUUCAAACCCAACAACAUGUAGUUACUCAGCCCCCAGUCUAUGACCUAGAUAGUUUUAACCAAAUGGGGGCCCCAAAAGAUAACUGUUCUCCUAAAGAAGAGGUGUUUGAAAAUGUAAUGGAUGGUUGUCUGCAAAAGCUGUCUGACUUGCAUCUCAGAGAGACUCCUGCUCAACCCCAACAAGAGACACUCACUAUGGAUGAAGCCUUCAUGAAUUUGCAGACUGAGUUGCAUAAGGUCCACAUGGAGAAGGAUGUCCUUUCUGACCUUAGAUUGAAGGAUUCGAGGACACAUGUUGUUCAGAUGGAAAAGAUGCUGUGCAUGUUGGAGGAGCUCCAAAACAUCAAAAAGGCUGGGGACCAGAAGCUGCAGGAGACAGAGCAAGAAACGUUGGCGCUUAACAGAAAAGUAGACAGUUUAGAAAGAAAUCUAAAAGAGAUGUGCAAUGCAGUAUUAUCUCAGGAGAAACACUGUGGAGACAAUGUUGUCACCAGUACUAAAUUCACCAUGCCUGGUUCAAGACACCCAGCACAUCUUACAAAUGAUUUGAAAGAAGAGACAAACAAGCUACAUGAACCUUUUUUGGAACAGCACGGGAGUGAAGAAAGCAGUGGAGUAAUAAACAAAAAAGAAAGAUUUGAAGACCUGAUUGCAUGUGUUUGUCAGGAGAUGGCGCUGUUGACUGACAAACUUUACUCAUCAAAAAACAACAGCAUCAACCUCAGUGCCAAGUUGGAGCUGCUCAAGAAACUUGCAGAGAGACAGGUAUCCCUGCACCAGUGUCAGCUCAGUGAACUUGAGUCAACCCUUGGCAGCUACAAAGAUCAGGUUUGUUGUCUAGAGAAGCAGCUCAGUGAGGCUCAGUCCCAGCUGGUGGAUGCCCAGAGAGAGAGAGAGCAAUCUGUACGACAGACAGAGGAGCUUCAGUCUCAACUGCAUCAACUCAAGAGGUGUGAUGAGAAGCAGCGGUGUGAGCUCCAGGAGGAGGUAAAGGUCCUGAGAGGACAGCUGGAGGCAGCCAAGAUGCAGCUUUGCAGAGAUGAGGAGGAGAGAACCUGCCUGGAGGCCCUGCUGGAGCAGAGGGCCCAGGAGGGGAGGAAAUCCCAGGAACUCUUGGAGGAGAAAACCAAAGAACUCUACCUUAGGCAGCAAAAUGCCAAACAGCUCUAUGGCAGGCUGGAGGAGGCUGAGCAACAGUGCCAGAUCCUACAAGCACAGGGAGAGACCCUGAGGCUUCAGCUUGAUGAUCGAGAGAGGAUGAUGGGUGUUCUGAGGCUGCAAAUGGAGAGCAGCAUUCAGAUGGCAGUACAGCACAGCCACACCAUCGACAACCUUCACCAGGAGAACAGCCUCAUCAGCAACCAGCUUAACCAGCAAAAGCAGGAGGUUCAGCAGCUCAGGGCUGAGUUAGAGCAGAGAAAGUCAGAGCUGUCUGCUGCAGAGCAGAAGAAACAGCAGCUACAGGCCUCUGUGGCUGAACAGAGUCAGCGAGUUCAAGAGGAAACUAUGAAGAAACAACAGGUCACCUCCCAACUGGAGGUACAGCGCGUGAAGUUUCUCACUCUCACCGAGAAGCACCAGCAGCUGCAACAUCUCCACAUCUGUAAGAGCAAGGAGCAGGGGGGUGUGGUGCUGAAGCUUCAGAGUCAGCUGAAGAACACCCAUAAUGAGUUGGACCAAGUCAAAAGCACCCUGAGGACCCUGGAAGGAGCUGAUGGGCAUGGCCUCCAAGUAGCCAUGGAGAUGCAGAAGAAGAUCACAGCCAGGAGAGAGCAGAUUGACUCUCUGCAGGGCAAAAUCCAACAUUUGGAGGAGACUAUGGAGAAACUGCUUCAGGAGAAACACCAACAGAGCCUCCAGCACCAGCACCAGCUCCAGGAGCUAUCCUUCAUCAGGGAGGAGAAAAGACAACUUCGCAGUGAGCUGGAGACCCUUUGCUCUAAAGAUAAACAACUCAGGGAUCGGAUCAGCCAGCUGGAGGCACUCCUUCAUAAGAUGUCAGAGAGCUUUGCAGAUUGUCAAGACUUCAUCCAACUGCAGGAGCAAGAGUUUUUCCGUCUGAAACUCAAGCAUGCCCUGGACUUAAAGGAACUUCAAGGUCAGAAUUUAACAGCUCCACCUGACCUGGACUUCCCGUCCUCAUCAGCACUCCCUGCUCCACCCUCUUCCCAGCACGCCUCCAGCACUCACAUAACUCAGCAGAAGAGCUCUGUCAAGGAGUUCAGGUCUCUAGCCAAAGAGUUGCAAGGAGUGAUUUCAGAGAACCACAGACCACACACAGAAAACAACGCCGCCCCCGGCAGCAUCUUCAGGAGGAGGUCUGCACCGGAGAGAGAGCGCAGAACCAUAUUCAGCACUGAUGAGGCAGAAGAAAUAAAAGCUGCUUCAAGACUGAGAAGAAAAACCUGCAGCAGCGAGUCACAUGUCCUGAAGACGGCUGAACUGAAUGGGAAUAAGAUGAACAGCAAAACCUAUUCAAAGAGCUGUGCUGUUUUGAGUCCAGCGACCACAGGAAGGUACAUUUCCUCCCCACAGCUCCUCUCACUGGGUCGCAAGUCACCCGUCCACUCUCUGCUGACCUCUGACCCAAACAGCCAACAGUAACCAAUAUGACACAACUGACCUGAGGCUGGCUCCUCUUAUCUAAAGCUCCAAAGCUCCCUGAUCAGACUGACAACAAAAGGUUUUCAAGGAAAAUAACAAUCAGAUGUACUAGUUUUCUUCAUCUUCCUCUGCCACAUGGUGUCCUGUAGGCGUAGGAAGUCCGGAGGUGUCAUUUCCGAACAUGCCUGGGUCCAAAAUUGAUG